UACGUAGGGACCGAGCGUUGUCCGGAUUCAUUGGGCGUAAAGAGCUCGUAGGCGGCCACUCAAGUCGAAUGUGAAACCUCGAGGCUUAACCUCGAGCCUGCAUUCGAUACUGGGCGGCUAGAGUCUGGUAGGGGGAUCUGGAAUUCCUGGUGUAGCGGUGGAAUGCGUAGAUAUCAGGAGGAACACCGGUGGCGAAGGCGGGAUCCUGGGCCAGUACUGACGCUGAGGAGCGAAAGCGUGGGGAGCAAACAGG
rnacentral:rRNA from 1 species